rnacentral:rRNA from 1 species
UACGUAGGGUGCGAGCGUUAAUUGGAAUUACUGGGCGUAAAGCGUGCGUAGGCGGUUUCAUAAGCUUGAUGUGAAAGCCCCGGGCUCAACCUGGGAAUGGCAUUGAGGACUGUGGAGCUAGAGUGCGGCAGAGGGAGGUGGAAUUCCACGUGUAGCAGUGAAAUGCGUAGAGAUGUGGAGGAACACCGAUGGCGAAGGCAGCCUCCUGGGCCGACACUGACGCUGAGGAGCGAAAGCGUGGGGAGCGAACAGG